CGUUUAUUCGUUCGAGAUCGGAGUUAAGCGUAGCUGCAGCGUGGACUGGAUUGUCGACUACAACAUAAUGGAUAGUGUCGUCGGCAAAUAACCUGUUGUUUGCUUUAAUAUCUAGAACAAUAUCAUUAAUAAAGAUUUUAAAAAAAGAAGAGGCCCUAAAAUUGAGCCGCCCUUUGGUACUCCAGCGUUGAUAUGAGACCAAUUGGAUUCUGCGUUUGGAAGAACAACGUUUUGUUUGCGGUUUGUAAGAGGUAUGGGGUCUUGAGAACAGUAUUCCUCAGCGGGUAGGAGCAAGAGCUCAAGAACGGGAGAUUGAAAACCUGCGGCUGCCCACAUGCAUCGUAUAGUGGGGAAUUGGCGGCUUGACAUUGUCAACAUUACGGAGGUCAAUCGAAGCCAAUUUAUUACUUUUUACACCGCCAAAGGUAUUGGUAUUGCACCUGGGCGGAAGACAAAGUGAUCUAUGCACGGACGCAUGUACAAAGGAGACGCCAAGGCGCCUGAAGCAGCCCAGCGCCGUCGAAAAGACAUGGUCCUUUGAUGGGAAUUUUUUUCGCUUUGUUUACAGAAAACCAACAUGCUACCAAAGUAAAAUUCUCUGAUGUCAAGAACUGGCUAAAAAAGCCGUGG